UGGGGAGUAUUGGACAAUGGGCGCAAGCCUGAUCCAGCAAUGCCGCGUGUGUGAAGAAGGCCUUCGGGUUGUAAAGCACUUUUAUCAGGAGCGAAACGCUGUCGGCUAAUACCCGGCGGAACUGACGGUACCUGAGGAAUAAGCACCGGCUAACUUCGUGCCAGCAGCCGCGGUAAUACGAAGGGUGCAAGCGUUAAUCGGAAUUACUGGGCGUAAAGCGUGCGUAGGCGGUUUCUUAAGUCUGCUGUGAAAUCCCCGGGCUCAACCUGGGAAUGGCAGUGGAUACUGGGAGGCUAGAGUGUGUCAGAGGGUGGUGGAAUUCCCGGUGUAGCGGUGAAAUGCGUAGAGAUCGGGAGGAACAUCAGUGGCGAAGGCGGCCACCUGGGACAACACUGACGCUGAGGCACGAAAGCGUGGGGAGCAAACAGGAUUAGAUACCCUGGUAGUCCACGCCCUAAACGAUGCGAACUGGAUGUUGGUCUCAACUCGGAGAUCAGUGUCGAAGCUAACGCGUUAAGUUCGCCGCCUGGGGAGUACGGUCGCAAGACUGAAACUCAAAGGAAUUGAC
rnacentral:rRNA from 1 species